rnacentral:rRNA from 1 species
GAUGAACGCUGGCGGCGUGCCUAAUACAUGCAAGUCGAGCGAACAGACGAGGAGCUUGCUCCUCUGACGUUAGCGGCGGACGGGUGAGUAACACGUGGAUAACCUACCUAUAAGACUGGGAUAACUUCGGGAAACCGGAGCUAAUACCGGAUAACAUGCUGAACCGCAUGGUUCAACAGUGAAAGACGGUCUUGCUGUCACUUAUAGAUGGAUCCGCGCCGCAUUAGCUAGUUGGUGAGGUAACGGCUUACCAAGGCAACGAUGCGUAGCCGACCUGAGAGGGGGUUGGCCACACUGGAACUGGGACGCGGUCCAGACUCCUACGGGAGGCAGCAGUAGGGAACCUGCCGCAAUGGGCGAAAGCCUGACGGAGCAACGCCGCGUGAGUGAUGACGGUCUUCGGAUCGUAAAACUCUGUUAUUAGGGAAGAACAAAUGUGUACGUAACUAUGCACGUCUUGACGGUACCUAAUCAGAAAGCCACGGCUAACUACGUG